UCACAAAUCAAGCUCGGCUUGCUGUUGGACCUCUUGUCGGUAAAAGACAGGCCCCAAAGAUAAUGACGGUGUUAUUAGAACCCUAGAUGCAACGAGCUUUAACUAGCACGCACCAUAGUGGCCUUUUAACCCGGUCUUUUUAACCAAUUUCUAA
rnacentral:misc_RNA from 1 species